ACGCUGGCGGCGUGCUUAACACAUGCAAGUCGAACGGGGAUGGUACAUGCGAGGGAGUAGUUUACUAUGACCAGACAAGUGCCAUCCUAGUGGCGGACGGGUGAGUAACGCGUGGGCAACCUGCCCUGUACAGGGGGAUAACACUUAGAAAUAGGUGCUAAUACCGCAUGAGCGCACAAAGGCGCAUGCCUAUGUGCGGGAAGCCCGCGAGGGCGGUACGGGAUGGGCCCGCGUCUGAUUAGCCAGUUGGCAGGGUAACGGCCUACCAAAGCGACGAUCAGUAGCCGGCCUGAGAGGGUGGACGGCCACAUUGGGACUGAGACACGGCCCAAACUCCUACGGGAGGCAGCAGUGGGGGAUAUUGCACAAUGGGGGAAACCCUGAUGCAGCGACGCCGCGUGAGUGAAGGAGCGUUUCGGCGCGUAAAGCUCUAUCAGCAGGGAAGACAAACUGCCCCGGAAGGGGCAGCCGGACGGUACCUGACCAAGAAGCCCCGGCUAACUACGUG
rnacentral:rRNA from 1 species